rnacentral:rRNA from 1 species
UACGAAGGGGGCUAGCGUUGUUCGGAAUUACUGGGCGUAAAGGGCGUGUAGGUGGUUCUGUAUGUCUACCGUGAAAGCGUACGGCUCAACCGUAUUUAGUCGGUAGAAACUGCAGGACUUGAGGCUGGGAGGGGCUGGUGGAAUUCCCCGUGUAGCGGUGAAAUGCGUAGAGAUGGGGGAGAACACUCGUGGCGAAGGCGGCCAGCUAGACCAGUUCUGACACUGAGGCGCGACAGCGUGGGGAGCAAACAGG